rnacentral:rRNA from 1 species
GACGAACCGUGCGAACGUUAUUCGGAAUCACUGGGCUUAAAGCGCGUGUAGGCGGAUGGGAACGUCGGUAGUUGAAAGCCCCCGGCUCAACCGGGGAAGUGGUGCCGAAACGACCCGUCUGGAGGGACGUAGGGGGACCUGGAACUUCCGGUGGAGCGGUGAAAUGCGUUGAGAUCGGAAGGAACGCCCGUGGCGAAAGCGAGGUCCUGGACGUCGUACUGA